UUUUAGUCUGACUCUGCAGUGCCUGUGAGCCAAAGCAAUGCAAAUGCUGCAGGCAGAGGUCUUCCAGUUUGAAUGCCUCUGAGAAGAAUUAACGGAAAAAAGAGCAGCAAUAAGGGUGUUCCUUGGCCUGCCAAAAACCUCCUCCAACAUCUGGGUGCCUGCUAGGAUUUUUUCUACAGAUGCUCACUUGUGAGACAUUGGAGCCAGAGAAAGAAGGAGGGAGAAUAUGAGAGAGGAACAAGCCUACAGACACCAAGAUCAGUGCAGAAGGAAGGGCAGGAGCUGUUCCAAGAAACAAAGAUUCCCUUGCAGCCUGUGUUGAAGACUGUGGUGAGGCAGUUGCGCUACUGAUGAAAUUCCAUGGUGGAAGGGAGACCCUUCUACAGCCCAUGGAGGACUCUAUGCCAGAGCAGAUGCAUGCCCAAAGCAGGCUGUGAUGCUGAGAAGACCAUGCUAGAACAGACUGCUGGCAGAACCUGUGGCCUCAUGGACUCGUGACCCCAUGGGGAACACAUGUUCUGGCUGUUUGUUCC